ensembl:lncRNA
CUGCUAUUUAAAAGCAAAUCUGCUGUAACAAUUGCCAGUGAUCCUGAUCACUUUCUGUAUUUUCAGUUGAAAAUGAAGAUAAACAAUGAAGCAUUUUUAUCAAUUAUUUCAAAGCAUUUUACAAAAAAAAAAAAAAAAUCAGGAUAAAAAUCUUUUUUAACUAAUGAAGAAACUUAGGAAGAGCAAAAAAAAUGUGGAAAAAGAAAGGAAAACAUGAUUUUCUCAGUAUUACGAGGUAGGUAACCCAGGCACUAUGUGCUGCUGCUGUGGGACAAGGAGGGACAAAGCGGAAUCCGGUACCUUUGGAACUCUUACUUUAUAGCCCCACAUGGUCAUCCUUAGUCUGUGGAGGAAGGUAGCAGCCUGUGCUGCCUGCUUUCUCCUCCUCCCAUCUCAGGAUGAAAACUAGAAAAAAAAUGCUCUGUACUUGCAUUUCAAAGGCAUAGUCUAGUCCUUAGCAUGUGGUCUGAAUUAGAAAGAUAUUGCUGUAGUUAAUAUUAGAUUUUCAAGAAAAGUUCUUCUUUAUUUACUCGCAUCUUUUAAAAAAUCCAAAUUCAUAAUGUUGAAUGCACAAAUUUUAUUUCCUAUUAACACACUGUAUUCUUGAAUUGGUAGUAAAGAGAAUUUUAAACAACAGUGGCAGAUGGCCGAAUUACCCCUCCAGGGUGACUGGAAAGGAUGGUCACUGUUUUACUCGAUAGAUUAUGGUGAAGUGUAUUGAGAUAACAUGGACUGGGUGUGUAUUGUUGCAUUAGAAAUAAGACAUACAAUUUUGGCUAGAGUUUCUGUCUGCCCUCCCAUCUGAUCCAGAGAGCCACUAAUUUAGUACAAGUGUUCAUUAUGAAAAAUGUAAUAGACCUGAAGCUGGAUGACUGGGUCCUGGGAGCUAUUCAGCUAUUCCAUUAUUUUAUUUUAUCUUAUUUUACAGACACUGAGGAUUGUACCAUAUGUUUCUUUAACUGUAUUCCUGGUAAAAAUCUGAUUUUGAUUGGCACAAAUUGAACGUAUUCCAUAUAUCCUAACCUAUUACAGGUUAUCCUUACCCUAGCAAUUGAACUUUAGCUCUAAUUCAGAAGAAGAAAAAAAAAAAAAAAAAAGAAAAAAGAGUGCAAAGGCAAUCGUUUUCAUGUCUUUGCCAGAUGAAGCUGAAUAGAAGUACUGUCAGAGUAAGAAAUUCAGGAUUUGACCCUCUGAGUAGAUUUUAUUUUCAAAGCAGGUUCCCAGAAGCCACAGAGAAAAAAGGAAACAAAGCUAAAAUUGGGACAAGGUCAACUGGAUACAGAAGAGACUGUAACAAACCUAAAAUAGUUCUGUUAUUUUUGUUUCAGCUAAAGUUCACAGAAUUUUUAUUAAUAAUCUAACCUAGAUAUUUAGGCAGGAAUCAGACAGAACAACUUUUUAAUGACUGCCCAGCGGGAAGGUUAUAUUCAUAACUAGUGUUCAUAGUUCACUUCAUAUUUGACACUGACAGAUACAGUUACUGCCUUAAAUAUUGAAAGCCUAAGAAGUAUCCCUCUACAAACAGUAUAACACAUUACAGAGAGUUGAAGAAAUCUUUUGAGUGUAUUCAUUGCUUGGAAACAUAUAUAUUAUACAUACGUACAAGCAAUGAGAAACACGUGUAUUUUAUCAGGAUAAGCUACACUUAUUUGCAACCAGUAUGGGUAGGAGAAGGAUCAGGUCUUAUUUUAACAUGAUAGAAAUGCAGACAGGGAAAAUUUUCUGAGCAGAAAUUCAUACUUUCAAAUCAGUGGAUAGAGUUAAUUAAUCUUAAUUAAAAAAAAAUGAAGAUACUAUUUUUACUUCAGCCUCUUCUCUAAAGUAAUUAUACCACAGAUGAGGCAUAUACUUACUCUGAUACACCACCAACUUCCCCAAUUCCCCCCAGAAAGAAAAAUAAUAACAACAAAAACAACACUGCACUCCAAAAAGAAAAGAGAAGAAAAGAGAAGAGAAGAAAAGAGAAGAGAAGAAAAGAGAAGAAAAGAGAAGAGAAGAAAAGAGAAGAAAAGAGAAGAGAAGAGAAGAGAAGAGAAGAGAAGAGAAGAGAAGAGAAGAGAAGAAAAGAAAAGAAAAGAAAAGAAAAGAAAAGAAAAGAAAAGAAAAGAAAAGAAAAGAAAAGAAAAGAAAAGAAAAGAAAAGAAAAGAAAAGAAAAGAAAAGAAAAGAAAAGAAAAGAAAAGAAAAGAAAAGAAAAGAAAAGAAAAGAAAAGAAAAGAAGACCAAAUUAGGCAUCGGAUAUCACGAGUCACAGUGGUACUCAGAGUUCCUUCUGCUGCUACGAAUAGAAAUUACUGUUAAAAGUCUCUCUGAAAAGGUGUCUGUAAUUCAGAAUUUGUUUUAUGUGCAAUUUAAAGUAGCUUAAAUUUAUUUGUUCUCUUUCAGAAGUUAUACUUUAACAUGAAAAACACCGAAGAGCAUAAAUUGUUCUUUAUUUAACAAUUUUAGAUCUGGGAAUAUUUCAUUUAGAUCUAUUCUAGAUUUUACUGCUGGUGUUAACAUGCAGGUAGUAUUCUGUCAUUCUUUCAGUUUUGCAAUGAUCUAACAGUGAAUUUUUCACUGAUGCAACAUGCAGAUAUUAUUCUUUUAUAUGCAUUUCAGUAAAUAUUAAACAAGUAUAUAAAAUAUAUGUAAAGGGUACUGGGAAUUUAGGGCCUACUCUGUAUGCUUAUGAUGGAGGUUGUUGUCCACUCUUCCGAAAGAUGACACUCGAGAAUUCAGAUGACAUGGAAAAUACAGAGGUUUUAAAUAGUGAUGCAGCUAAAAUGCAAAACUCAGCCAAUGACAGCAAUAUCCCUUCCAAACUCUUUUUAACAGACACAAACUACUAAAUCCUUUAACUACAGAAUUGAGUCUGACUGACAGCUGAAGAAAAGUACACCUGGUAUUUAGAGAUAAACACUCUCAGUGUCAUAAAAAGGUAUGCCAGAUCUAACCUUCAGCCUGGACUUAGAAUGUCACAGUACAAAGGAAAUAGUUUUGUUUUUAUUCUUUGUCAUUAACAGGCUGGCUGAGCCAGGAGUUGGCUCUGAGUUCCUUAAAAAUGAGAGCAAAAAUGUAAUGUAUUUACGUCCUAAUCACAAAAAUGCCAGAAUAGUCUGCAUACUUUGUUAAUAGUCCUAAUGCCUUUCCAGGAAGGACAUACAGAGUAGUCUCAUUGGGGUUACUCUUAGUGUUAAAAUCAUGGAUCUGUUAAAUGUGUUAGGAAAUUAUGAUCUUUACUGUAUAAUUAGUAAGAUCUCUUGAUUCUCAUUGCUUAAGAUCCCAGAAGCUGAUAGGAGCUACUUUCUCUAUUUUACAGUGGGUAAGCUUGGGUGCAUGAAGAUAGUCCUGCCAAAGGCCAGGCAGGGAAUCCUUAACAAAGCCCAGAGCCCUUUAAGUUUCAUCUGAGUACUUUAACUUCACAGCAGCAAUUUUUAUCACCCUUUUAAUUUCACUGAAAAAGCCUUUAAAUACUCAAUAUAAUAACAGGUGACUGAAGGAUGAUCUGGAGGUAACUUGAAAGGAGAAGAUUUUUUUGCUUUCCACCUUAAAAAAGCACGGGUAUAUUAAACAAUGAGAACUGACAACAAAGGUAAGCUAAAAGCUAAACAUAAUAAGACACUGUUUUCAGCAUUUCAAAAGAACUAAAUACAACACAUCAGCAGCUUCAAAAUCCUUUUGAACAAAUGCACUCAGAAACAACUAACUGGCAAACAAAGCUAUUAUGAAGAUGACAGUGUGGCCAGUGAUCUUUUGGCACAUCAACUCCAUAAAGUGUAGGCCUCUAGGAAUACUCCUCACAUUUCAGUAAGUAGAAGAGCAAAUUUAACAACAGAUACUGAGGUCAGGGUAUUAUAAUUUGUUGAUUUUUACAAAGUUUAAUAGAUGAGAAUGUCCCCAAAAUGAGAAGUAUAUCCCUUAUUUAUUGUUGAAGGGAUUUGAUUUACUUUAAAUUUUAAAGGAUCGAUACAGUGAUCAGAAUUUCAGAGUCCCAGUCACAAUACUUUAUAUUUAGAUUAAUUUUUAUUCUGCCAAAGCAAUAUAGAAGCAUCUUAAACAGCACUCAUAACAUAAGAUAGAUGUCCUGUACCCUAUCAUGUAUCAUAAUUAACUAAGUAAUUAAGCUGCUCUCAACAGACAGAUAGAAGAUCAUGCUAGUUUACGAAGACUACAAAGCAUGGUUCAAAUAAUACAUGGAAAUAACAACAUCCUUUCAAAAAUACAAGUCUUCUUUAGCUGCUGGUUUUGUGUAACUAUACAUAAGAAGCUGUAUAGCAGAAAAAAAUCUUUCAGCCUCAUUAAUAAGGAAUGUCACUAAAAAAUAGGUAGGUAAUCAUGUCUCAUUAUCUUUCAAGAAUGUCACAGCAGAAUCAACACAGCUUCAGUGAGUAUACUGCUGGAUUGCUUCCCUUCUCAUAGCUUUCAGAAGGACUAUCAUUAUAUUUUCAGUAACAAAUCUUCACAAUUUGUAGGAUUGUAAAAAUGCUGAAUAAGAAUGUCCAUUAUUAAAAAGGAAGGAAUCAAAUUGAAUAGUUUUUCUAAUGUCAUAAACACCGCUGAGUCCACAACGUCCAUCUUCUAGGCUUUGAUUAAUAGAAGUCAUUAUAAACAUGCUUGAAUUUAACUUUCCUGAAUAGGAGGACUUUAAGGAUUAAUAUGGGCCUCUGGAAAUGAGAUACAAGAUGUUCUGAAGGAUGCUAACCUCUGACUGAACAGGACAGAAGCAAAGAGGAUAAGAUGCAAGUUGUUGCUGGCACAGAAGGGGAAGAAAACAGGUCACUCUUGUUAUGCCUGGAAAAGCCUCUGAAGACCUUCAGCCUGAAAUCUGACAGUUCUCUUGCAGACACAUUGCAAUGGCCACCUCAGCUUCCUGCUUUAACUAUGUCCUUCCUUUGGAUCCCGCCCCGUUCCCCCCCCACCCCUCCUUUCUUUUUUUCUUUUCUUUCU